UAUGAAGAACGCAGCGAAAUGCGAUAAGUAAUGUGAAUUGCAGAAUUCAGUGAAUCAUCGAAUCUUUGAACGCAUCUUGCGCUCCUUGGUAUUCUGAGGAGCAUGCCUGUUUGAGUGUCAUUAAAUUCUCAACUACACUGACUUUGAAUUGGUGUGGCUUGGAUUUGGGGGGAAAAUUGUUGUGGGCUUUUUGUAUAGUCUGCUCCCCUGAAAUUGAUUAGCGGUACCUUUGUGGAACUGUCUACAGGUGUGAUAAUUAUCUACAUCUUAGACAUCUGCUGGAAUGCUGCUUUCUAAACCUUACUUGUAUUGACAAUCUUGACCUCAAAUCAGGUAGGACUACCCGCUGAACUUAAGCAUAUCAAUAAGCGGAGGA
rnacentral:misc_RNA from 1 species